GACGUAGGGCGCAAGCGUUUGUCCGGAUUUAUUGGGCGUAAAGAGCUCGUAGGCGGCUUGUUGCGUCGACCGUGAAAACCCGUGGCUCAACUGCGGGCUUGCGGUCGAUACGGGCAGACUAGAGGUAGGUAGGGGAGAAUGGAAUUCCCGGUGUAGCGGUGAAAUGCGCAGAUAUCGGGAGGAACACCGGUGGCGAAGGCGGUUCUCUGGGCCUUACCUGACGCUGAGGAGCGAAAGCGUGGGGAGCGAACAGG
rnacentral:rRNA from 1 species